rnacentral:lncRNA from 1 species
UAAGUUGAUGGCUAUCACCUCCAUCAAUAGUUUUGUUAACCUUAGGAGACUCACACCCAAGUAGCAUAACAUCACAUCGUUAAAAAUCAUUGCUUACAUACGCCAGUGAUUUUUUUUUUUUUUUUUUUUCUUGAAGAUUUUGUCUGAUGAAUCUUGUUUUAUCUACAAAUUUUUUGGGCAUCAUGGACACAGCUGCUUCAUAUAUCAAGGAGAUUGAAUAAACAGAGGAGGAACGGGGUUGCACGUGUGGACACUUUUGUCCACAACAUGAAUAUUUCAAUAGAUAAAUAUUUAUGUAGUUAUAAAAAAUUCAAUAAAUCAAGGUGGGCAACAGAAAAGUUUCCAACUAAUUAGUAUUCUAAUAGCAAUGUUAAAACCAUGGCCCCGAGCCUAAGCCUGAAGAAUGCACACACUUUGACAGCGUUGUCCUAGGAUAUGGUAGCCACUGCCUUUCGGCAUGAUUCCUUUACUGGGCCUUCCCCAUCUCUACAUUGAUAUAACAGUUGAGAAGGAGAUGACUCCUCAUACGAUUAGAAGUUCCGUGAAGAUUUAAUAAUGUAUGCUAAUUUUUUGUGGAUCACAUACCAUUUGAUGAUGGAGAGGCGAAGCAAAUAAGAUACCUAUCUGGAUUGUCCAUUUUAUCGAUUUUCUUUAUUAAAUACAUUUAUACCCGGUGGUCCGGCGAGAUGGUUUCCCUCGUCACAAAUGAAAUAUCCAUUUAAAUGACUCUUCCGAAGUUAUUUUUCUUAUCCCAUUCAUUCCAAACCUUACUCUCAUCCUUUGGCUAUGACUCCAAAAACUUUUAAAAUGAAAAGUUCAUUUGGAAACUCCCUUUGUCGUUUCCUUUACUGUUUAUCCCAUCAUUGACUCUGUAUAAGCCUCAUAUCCAUAUAUUUUAUGAGUCGGAACGUCUUGAUUGAUAAUCUUAAGGAAAAACGUAAAAUUCAUUGCUGAAGGUUAUCAGAUUCUGGUAUUUGUGAGCUUCUUAAUUUGAAGAGUUGUAUUAAGAUGAUUGGUGUGACUGGUCAAUUUAAUUGCUUGCUCGAACUUCAUAUAGGUAUUAAGUAACUUACAAUUACUUAGCUUCAUCAAUAUUUCAAGAAAGUUAUAAGUCAAUUCAGAAUCCAACCACUGAGAAAUAUGGAUACCUAUUAUAAACAAUCGGAACAACGGAAUAGAGUCCAAUUAAAAAAAGCGUAUUGUCAUUUUAAAAAACUUUAAUAUUAUAUUAAUUCAACUAUAAACCUACUACUUACAUAGUCUGUUCUUAAUAGUCUCUUAAUUAUUUGAUUUUAAACCGCAAAACCUAACCAAAUAAGGAAUUUUGUGUAUAUUGAGUGAUUAUUAUUUUUGCACUUUUAUAUUACAAUCUUUAAAAACUGAAAUAUAUAGUUAUACUUUC